GGCAAGGAGCCUUACAGGAGGUUUGUUCCAGCCGCACAGUCAGCCCUCGGCUGGCAGGCCUCUGUGUUCUCUUCCACGCGAGGAAACGCACCAUCGGCCCUGACGGCGCUCGGCCAAAGGAGCACAGGCUGGAGUUCCGGCGUGCGAAAGCCUUGUGGUUGCAGCAGCCCUGGAGUCUCCUCCCUGCCCCUGGCGCCCCAGCCCGUGUUCUCAAGCGCUGCCCUGUGCCCGUGCCCGGCUCUCAGGACAAACAGUCCCUCAUCUCCGCCCGAAGGCCUCUCCAGAACACACAGGGGCCUUUCUCCCUGACGCGGAGAAGGACAUAAACAGACAUGAGCUUCUUCUCUCUCUCCACAGUGGGGCUUUGGCGCAGUGGCUCUUCCCUGCCAUGUCUCUCCGCCCAUGAGGCGUCCUCAGCCCCUCGUGUGGUCCCCUGGCUGGCGGGGCCGCUCAGCAGCCUGCUGAGCACGCACGGUCAUGCCUGAAGUGCUGCGAAGUGCACGGACUCCAGCAGCUCCGGCUCCACCCCACGGAGGAAUUCGCGGAUUGUUCCUUUCCCUUCCUUACACAUAGAUGUGCGUCCUUCUAAUCCAGUAUAAACUCACUACUUCUGAGAGCUGGCGAUUCCUGCCAAUACAACCUUAUGAGGUUAGUUUUGAAACUACUUGUAGAUGAGAAAUGAGGACACAGAAGCACAGUGUGAAGUCCUCUGUCCACAUUCCUGACACUAAUUGCAACCUGCAGCGUCUAACCGUGAAGCCUGACGUGUGUUAUAAUCACCAUCUACUUGGGGGGACGUAAACCAGGUCUGUUCAUCCUGGCCUCGUAUCGUGUACUGUCUGAGUUAUUCCUGUGUAGGCAUAAUGGUUUACUUUUUAUAGACUUUUAUACUUUGUCAUUUUCCUUAUGCAUUGCAUCAUGAAAAUGGCAUAAAAAUCCUCCUGCUGUAUAACUCAUUCCAUCAAAGUCCUUCCUUGACCACAAGGCUAAUCUAAGAAACUAAUAUGAGGGAAGUUAUUAAUAGUUUAUAAUGGGAUAACUUAACAAUUCCCUUACUUUGCACUCACUCCUGUAUCACAUUUAUAAAGACCCUUUGCCUAAUUCAAAACUAAAUAUUUGUGGAAAAUGCAGGCUCUGUAAUAGGAUUGAGGGCGAAUCUGGUUCUGACCAUGCCGAUCUCAAAUUAUAUCAUCUGCACAAACAUCUCUGUCAUUAUGAAGAAAGCCAUAUUCUAAAUGCACUCAACUCACAGACCAUCCCACCGUUAUCCCCUAAGAGUGCAUUCCAUGGUGAUGCAACUGGGUGGUUUUCUGCACCUGAAUGCCCUUCUUAUCUACAGAGAGCUGCCACCACCCUCUCUGUGCCCUGCCAUUCUUCGGGAAAUGAUCCUUCCUGCACUCUUAGCUCCAGGGUGUCCGCUGGGGCUGUCAUGCAUGUAUGUGAUUCUGCCUCCUCAGCCACCCAAAUUGUGACUGUUGAUUGACCUAAGCCACCAAAUCUUGCCCUAAGAAGUUGGGAUUAGGGUCCAUCAUGAGUCACUCUGAGUUCCAAUCUGUUUACAAAGCUGAGAUAUAUGUGCUUUGGUACCUAUGAGGUCACAGUAACUGCUGUGCAGAGAACCCAUGUCUGAAAAAAAAAAAAUAAAUGAAGUCAACUGGAAAAAAGAAUCUGAAAUGAGGGCACGGGCGGAUUCUGGCAACCCCAAGUGCCUGAGGCCAGCCCCACGCCGGCCAUCCUGCAGGCUGAAGGCGAGACACGCAGCAGCACUGCCCGGGGAGUCUCCGCUACACCCUGAGGCCUCGCGCUCAGCUCCUCGGGGAAGACUGCAGGCAGAAACUCAGGGAAAUGUUUUAACAUGGAAAACUCUGAGAUCAUCAGUUACGAGUGUGAGAGGGGAGAGGGAGAGGGGCAGCCACCCCGCUCACAUCCUGAGAGCCGUGUGGCUUCUGUUCAGCAGCAAUUUCUCAAGCCAGAGUAAGGCCGCAGCAGAGUCAGGCUUGCAGUCUGGCAACAGCACCGCUGUGACUGACAUCGGAACCUGCGUGGUCCAUGCUGGCCGCAGGGCUCAGAGAGAAGCAUCCCUAGAUGGUGCAUGCAGAAGACCCAGUUACUAGUAUCACUGAAAUCAUAGGAAAUGCCUUAGGGUCUUUCAGAAAUAAUCUUGUGAAGUUUUGGGAUGGAGGGUAACGGGGACAGAAGAGUGGCUUUAGUGAAUGCAAACAGCACUGCACAACACAGCUUAUUGAAAUGAAUGGGACAUGUUUUCUUCUACUGAGAACUCGUAUGACACAGGUUACACUAGUUUAAUUUCAUUUUAUAUUUUCGAAAUAUUUUCUCAUGAAAUUAUAUAUAUUCAUGGUUUAAAAAGAUCAACAUGUAUAGAAAGUUUCCUACAUAAAAGUGUAUUCUCCUCUCCCAAUCUCACUUCUCAGAAAUAACCACUUUUAUAUAUUUUAUUGUUUUU